UAGAUGUACCCUCCAAGGUGUUGGCCUCUUUAGAGAGAAAUGGAGAGACAAUUCUCACCAAUUUUCCCCAAAAUAAAACCCUUUUAAUCCUUAAUGAAUAUUUGGCUAUAAAGUCAUUUAUAUAGUCACUUCUUUAAGUGACCUAAAGAACCAAAACCCUAAUUCAUCACACUAUGGCCGGCCAUUUAGGGAGUUUUGGGCUUUUGGGCUUCAAUGAAUCUUUAUUCAUUAAAUUGUCAUACAACUUAAGUUAAUGGGCUUGACGUUCGAAGCCCAUUGGGCCUUAAGGUCCAAAACUAUCCCGAAGUCUUUAACGAACUUAUUCGUUUGAUUAAUUAACAUAUUAAUUAAUCCUUGCCAUAAAUAAAUGAUUAAACCAUUUAAUCAUUUACUCAUUUCCAUUUAAUCUCCAAUCUCUACCUUUUAUGGUGUGCGAUCCAUUAGGUUCCUUUUAGCGAGGUAGUGGGCGAUUAAAACCAUUUUACAUCGAUUGUGAAUUGAAACUAUUUUCAAUUCUCCCUUUAGUGAUUACACACGUUUAGGGCUUCCACAAACCAUGAGUGACACCUAGCAGCAUAUCAUGGUUACCCAAGCUAAUCAGAAGAGGUUAGAGAACCUAUUCAGUUCGGGAUUACAAAUGCAAUACGGUCUUUCUCUAAUCUAAUACUCUUGACCACAUUGUUUGGUUUGAUAGUUUAUUUGCUCAUGUCUACUAUCCAAUGUGUGUCUUGUGCUUAUAUGAUUACCUUGAAUGUGAUUCGGAACGCAUUCCCAAAUCUCAUUCAUACUCUGGCCAGAGAUUCAAAUCAUAUCAGAGAGUAUUCUCCCUCAAACGGUUUGAAGGUUAGAGAUCCCUUGUUGCGCAUUAACUUGUCUCCAUAGCUAAGUGGCUUGAACCCAACGAUGUCGUGGACACCCUCCUGAUGGAGUGACUUUGACAUAAUCAAAGAUCAAGGACUUAACCACAAGACAACUAUGAUGCCUCAGGUCAAAGGACUACUUUGCAUUAUCCCAACCAUGAGUUCUCAUGUGACAUGGAAUAUGAGAACUCUUCGUUAAUCGCGUUCAGUGAACUCAUUCUCUAUUGAGCACCUACCGUACUUGUCUUGAUGUCACACACACCAAUGAUUCGAGACUGAUCACUCUCCCUGAGAGAAGACAUAGUACGUACUGAUCUUAACGGACUGUCAAUGCCCAAUUGGCAAUCCUAUGA
rnacentral:lncRNA from 1 species